UUAUUUGAGUAAUAUUCUUAGGAAAUAUUGCUCGAAAUAAUUUCAAGGACAUAAUGUGAGUUUGAAGAUAGAAUAAAAGAAAACAAAAUUUAAUUGGGAUGGUGUGAGUAUAUAUAUAUAUAUAUAUACGCAUAUAAUGGAAGAGCGAGAGAGAGAUUCAAAGCAUUAUAACGGGUUUUUUUCUGUGAAUUACCCUCUCCCCUCGAACUGAGGCAGAUGUUUUCGGCUGAAGGUUCUUCAGGUAUAGAAAAAGUCUCCACAGACGGUCAUUUCUGUCUGAGUCUUCCUUUCGAACAGUCAGUAUACGAACGAAAUUUUACAUUCUGUGGUGAAAUAUGUUUGGUGAAACACGUCGCUAAAUAUUACGUUUGCUGAAAUACGUCGCUCUGUGGUUAUCUGAUCAUGGAGGAAAAUCGAUGUUUCCUGUGCAAGGAAUCGUUAGACGAGGGCAAAACGAUUCACCUUAAAGAAAAAGCGCUGGGAACAUUAAUCAAGGCAAGUGUUCAGAGAAGAGACGACAAACAUCGAGAACUCCGUGGCAAGGAUAAUAUCGUACUUCAUAGUAAGUGUCAUAAAAGUUACACUCAUGCGAAUAGUAUCCAAGCCUGCAUCAACGCCGCAACAUCAAAUACGUGCGCUGCAUCCACACGCUCCGGUACAGCAACAGAUUUCGAUUUCGAGACGAAUUGUUUAUUUUGUGAAAAAGAUGCAUCUGAAACAUUUUUGAAAAAUCAAGCAAAAAAAAAAAAUGUUUCGAAACGGGAAACUGUGAGUCUCAUCAAAGAUUCGAGAGAUAAUCUUGAGGUAGAAAUAGAUCUGAUCGAAAGUAACGAAGACGUAACGUAUGCGUUGGAUACUAAUGAAAAUGAAGAAUUCGAUGAUGAUUCAAUGGUACAUUAUUCGCCUACUUGUAAAAAACAGAAAACAACGAUGUAAUGUAUGUAUACGAUCCUAGGCUCCACUCGUGUAUUUUAUAAUAUAGCUAAUAAUGUAAUAAAUAAGUUUAAUAUAAUAUGUAUACACAAUUUCGAGCGAAAAAAAUGUUUGUAUAUUUAUGGUCACAUGUUCACAAUUAUUUUACGUAUUGUAAUAUUAAAUGUCAUUGACGCUUGAA